AUUGAACGCUGGCGGCAGGCCUAACACAUGCAAGUCGAACGAGUGGCGGACGGGUGAGUAAUGUCUGGGAAACUGCCUGAUGGAGGGGGAUAACUACUGGAAACGGUAGCUAAUACCGCAUACCAUCGGAUGUGCCCAGAUGGGAUUAGCUAGUAGGUGGGGUAACGGCUCACCUAGGCGACGAUCCCUAGCUGGUCUGAGAGGAUGACCAGCCACACUGGAACUGAGACACGGUCCAGACUCCUAAGGGAGGCAGCAGUGGGGAAUAGUGCACAAUGGGCGAAAGCCUGAUGCAGCCACGCCGCGUGUAUGAAGAAGGCCUUCGGGUUGUAAAGUACUUUUAGCGGGGAGGCGUUACCCGCAGAAGAAGCCCCGGCUAACUACGUGCCAGCAGCCGCGGUAAUAC
rnacentral:rRNA from 1 species